rnacentral:rRNA from 1 species
AAAGAUGAGAUUGAGAAACAAGUCAAUGAGAUGUUAGCUUCUGGACUGAUUAAACCCAGCAUGUCACCAUUUGCUUCUCCGGUGCUGUUAGUCAAAAAAAAAGAUGGGACAUGGAGAUUCUGUGUGGACUACAGAAGACUGAAUGCUUUGACAGUGAAGAACAAGUUCCCUAUGCCUGUAGUUGACGAAUUGCUUGAUGAGCUAGCUGGGGCAAAGUGGUUUUCUAAAUUGGACCUCAGAUCGGGAUAUCAUCAAAUAAGGAUGAUAGAGUCAGAUGAAGCGAAAACUGCAUUUAAAACUCAUCAUGGACAGUACCAAUUCAGAGUGAUGCCCUUUGGUCUCACAAAUGCUCCUGCAACUUUUCAGUGCCUGAUGAACAUCAUUUUUGGCAAAUAUGCAAGAAGAUUUGUUCUGAUUUUCAUGGAUGAUAUAUUAAUAUUCAGUGAAACACUGGAAGAACAUGAGGAACAUUUAAGACAAGUCUUACAAACUCUGAGGACCAACCAGUUGUAUGCAAAGAUGAGCAAAUGUUGUUUUGCAACCCAGCAAAUC